UUCUUCAUUUGUUUUGUCGUCUGUGGUGCGUUUCGCUCGAGCGGCUCACCGAUGUGUGCUACGCGAUUGUCACAAAAAGAAAAUCCGUAAAAAAAACCAAAUGGUUAUUGUGUGAAACAAACUGUAUUUGUUGUCAUUUGUGUUUAUUAUUACGUAAAUUGUUGAAUGGGACUAAAUCGCGACGCCGGCGACAUUUGUUUCUACAUAAACAGAUCUGUCGAGCAAUGAGAAGACGAUUCUAACGCGACCACAGACUAUCCAACUCGGACCCAACUUACCACCAAAUCAGAAUGUCUCACCACUUAGUGACCGUCUGCAUAUGUCUGUUAUGCGCCGCUCACACUUGCGGAUCGCAUAUUGACCCUAAAAAUGACCUGCAGGCGUACGAACCGACUCUACAGAUAGACCAGGCGACGUUCAACUUUGCGAAACGAAAAAUAGAGUCUAAAUUAAGGUACGAUCAAAGAUUACAAAAAAUAAGACAGAAACGCGACACCAGAACCGUCAACCCUAGCGAGUACGUCGACAAAAUCUUCCAAAUCUACGGGGACAAUGUGUCGAAAACGAUGAACCUGACAGGUUUUAAUAGAAUGCUAGAAAGAUUGGAACUCCCAAACUUAAUAGAAGGUGGUCAGCAAAGGAUCGAGAACAAAAAAUAUUUGUACGUGAACGGGGAAACUAAGGAAGAAGUAGUUAACUGUGUGAGUAGCGGUGAAUUAAUUACAACAGUAAACACGAGGUUAAAACACUCACACAGCCACGACACUGCCCACGAGCACGAAGCAGAAAAUUCCAUUUCAGAAGACACACUCAAAGCUGUGUGUCCUAUACUGUUGUAUCAAAAGGUGGCUGAUUCGUCAAUAGAGAUACAAGGAUGUAUCAUUGAAUCGAACCAAAAGAUGUCAGAGAAACAUAGUGAAGAAACAAAUAUGUACGCAGUAUGGCUGUAUUCCUCUUUAAGUAUAACUGCGAUCAGCGCUUGCGGUCUACUUGGUGUAGCCGUCAUACCUAUUAUGCAUAAGACUUAUUAUAAUCAUUUACUACAAUUUUUAGUAGCUCUAGCUGUAGGAACUCUAUGUGGCGACGCGUUGUUACAUCUGAUGCCACACGCGAUGAGCCCAUCUCACGAUCACGGUCACGAAAAUGCUUUAAAUGGUAAGUCAUCUCACGAUGAUGGAAUGUGGAAAGGAUUAGCGGCAAUGCUAGGCGUUGUCUUCUUUUACUUUACCGAAAAAGGUUUAACAGUUGUUGUUGAAUGGAGGAAGCGCCGUCAAAAGUUGGAGGAUGAUAAACUGCCAUCUAGAGUGAGGGUUUUGAAGGAUGAAACUGUUGGUGGUUGUGCAGGAGGCGCUAAAGCUCCCAUAACAAACACAACAUCUAAUUCUCUAAUGAAAAUAUUCAAAAGAGAUGAUAAAAAUGAUCCGACAACUAAAACAUGUAAACACAAGUAUUCGGAAUACCCAUAUUGUUAUGAUGAAAUUGAUACUGAUACGCAUGAUGAACAUCACUUGAGGGAUGGUGUACCACCCAGUCCUAAAGCGAACAACAAACACAACAACUCAGUUAGUGUUGUUUCCUCAAAUGCCCUUAACCCUGAAGGUAAAGAAAAUGAACCGACGGCAAAAGAUUGGCUACUCAAAGCGGAAACGACUCCUGCUGUGGUUGAAAUGAACAAUAUCAAACAUAAAGAAGAAGGAAUUAAAGAUAUGAAGGAUGGCGACAGCUAUACCGUCAUACUCAGGGAGCACUCGCGCGCGCACCACGGCCACUCGCACGCCCACGGCCACGUGCACGCGCCGCCGUCGUCGAUGUCGUCCGUCGCGUGGAUGGUGAUCAUGGGCGACGGGCUGCACAACUUCACUGACGGAAUGGCGAUUGGCGCAGCUUUCGCAUCGAACAUCGCUGGUGGUUUUUCGACGGCCAUUGCAGUUCUGUGCCACGAGUUACCGCAUGAGUUAGGAGACUUCGCGGUACUCCUCAAGGCGGGCAUGUCGGUGAAGCGCGCGGUGUGCUACAACGUGCUGUCGUCCGCGCUGUGCCUGGCGGGCAUGAUCUGCGGCGUGCUGGCGGGACACGCGCCCAACGCCACGCGCUGGCUGUUCGCCGUCGCGGCCGGCAUGUUCCUGUACAUCGCGCUCGUCGACAUGGUGGGUCACGGCACUAGGUACACUGCGCCUGGCGGGCAUGAUCUGCGGCGUGCUGGCGGGACACGCGCCCAACGCCACGCGCUGGCUGUUCGCCGUCGCGGCCGGCAUGUUCCUGUACAUCGCGCUCGUCGACAUGGUGGGUCACGGCACUAGGUACACUGCGCCUGGCGGGCAUGAUCUGCGGCGUGCUGGCGGGACACGCGCCCAACGCCACGCGCUGGCUGUUCGCCGUCGCGGCCGGCAUGUUCCUGUACAUCGCGCUCGUCGACAUGGUGGGUCACGGCACUAGGUACACUGCGCCUGGCGGGCAUGAUCUGCGGCGUGCUGGCGGGACACGCGCCCAACGCCACGCGCUGGCUGUUCGCCGUCGCGGCCGGCAUGUUCCUGUACAUCGCGCUCGUCGACAUGGUGGGUCACGGCACUAGGUACACUGCGCCUGGCGGGCAUGAUCUGCGGCGUGCUGGCGGGACACGCGCCCAACGCCACGCGCUGGCUGUUCGCCGUCGCGGCCGGCAUGUUCCUGUACAUCGCGCUCGUCGACAUGGUGGGUCACGGCACUAGGUACACUGCGCCUGGCGGGCAUGAUCUGCGGCGUGCUGGCGGGACACGCGCCCAACGCCACGCGCUGGCUGUUCGCCGUCGCGGCCGGCAUGUUCCUGUACAUCGCGCUCGUCGACAUGGUGGGUCACGGCACUAGGUACACUGCGCCUGGCGGGCAUGAUCUGCGGCGUGCUGGCGGGACACGCGCCCAACGCCACGCGCUGGCUGUUCGCCGUCGCGGCCGGCAUGUUCCUGUACAUCGCGCUCGUCGACAUGGUGGGUCACGGCACUAGGUACACUGCGCCUGGCGGGCAUGAUCUGCGGCGUGCUGGCGGGACACGCGCCCAACGCCACGCGCUGGCUGUUCGCCGUCGCGGCCGGCAUGUUCCUGUACAUCGCGCUCGUCGACAUGGUGGGUCACGGCACUAGGUACACUGCGCCUGGCGGGCAUGAUCUGCGGCGUGCUGGCGGGACACGCGCCCAACGCCACGCGCUGGCUGUUCGCCGUCGCGGCCGGCAUGUUCCUGUACAUCGCGCUCGUCGACAUGGUGGGUCACGGCACUAGGUACACUGCGCCUGGCGGGCAUGAUCUGCGGCGUGCUGGCGGGACACGCGCCCAACGCCACGCGCUGGCUGUUCGCCGUCGCGGCCGGCAUGUUCCUGUACAUCGCGCUCGUCGACAUGGUGGGUCACGGCACUAGGUACACUGCGCCUGGCGGGCAUGAUCUGCGGCGUGCUGGCGGGACACGCGCCCAACGCCACGCGCUGGCUGUUCGCCGUCGCGGCCGGCAUGUUCCUGUACAUCGCGCUCGUCGACAUGGUGGGUCACGGCACUAGGUACACUGCGCCUGGCGGGCAUGAUCUGCGGCGUGCUGGCGGGACACGCGCCCAACGCCACGCGCUGGCUGUUCGCCGUCGCGGCCGGCAUGUUCCUGUACAUCGCGCUCGUCGACAUGGUGGGUCACGGCACUAGGUACACUGCGCCUGGCGGGCAUGAUCUGCGGCGUGCUGGCGGGACACGCGCCCAACGCCACGCGCUGGCUGUUCGCCGUCGCGGCCGGCAUGUUCCUGUACAUCGCGCUCGUCGACAUGGUGGGUCACGGCACUAGGUACACUGCGCCUGGCGGGCAUGAUCUGCGGCGUGCUGGCGGGACACGCGCCCAACGCCACGCGCUGGCUGUUCGCCGUCGCGGCCGGCAUGUUCCUGUACAUCGCGCUCGUCGACAUGGUGGGUCACGGCACUAGGUACACUGCGCCUGGCGGGCAUGAUCUGCGGCGUGCUGGCGGGACACGCGCCCAACGCCACGCGCUGGCUGUUCGCCGUCGCGGCCGGCAUGUUCCUGUACAUCGCGCUCGUCGACAUGAUGCCAGAGCUAAGCACGUCACACAGCAAGGAAGGCACUCUCUGCCAGUGCAUACUGCAGCUGAUGGGGCUCGCCACUGGCAUUGGCAUUAUGCUGGUCAUCGCUCUCUACGAAGAAACCUUGAUGAAUUUGUUUGGUUAAAGAAACCAACGAUAGACCAAGAAACUGUUGGUUGAUUAUGUCACACUUCCCUUCUCUCAUCCUUGAGGUGUACAAAAUUAACUUCAUAGUGGUCUUUUGGACUAUUCGUUAUAUAUUUAUCUGCUCCCAUAAAUGUAGAGAAAAAAGUUAAGAUCCCAUAAAUAAAGGGUUGUCAAAAAUAAAGUGAAGUGACAUAACCAACGAACAGUCAAACGAAAGUGCGGUUCAAAACAAUUUGUUAAGUGAUAAUCAAAACCGAGUGUAUGUAAGUGAAAAAGUGAAUUAAUUGGUCGAGUGAAGUGUUUGACAGUGAUGUGGGCGAGUCAUAUUGACUCACGGGAACGCAGACUUUAAAUACAAAAAUGUGAUGUACUUAGGUAAGGCUCAAAAAUUAUUUUUCAUAAAUGUGUAGCUGUAAGUUUUCAGUUUUAAGUUUUUGGUUUCACUAGACUGCACUAUGGUUAGCGUUGAAAAUUUAAAAUGAAGGGCAAUGAUCAGACAUUUUUUUAAGACUUAUGAUUAGUUUGUUUGUUCGUUUUCUUGUUUGUUAAAAUUGUUGGUAACAGAAAAAAAAAUAUGCAUAAAGAAUAAUACAGCUUCAAAUGUUACUUACCCACUUGGGUACACCGGUGAACUUUUUGAAGAGCAGUAUAAAAAAUGGUUUUUUCUUCAAGAUAUAUACCAAUAGACCAAUUUUUUUUAACCAGAUCCUUAUUAAUACAUCAUAUUAUCAUUUCCAUAUACUUUUAUAUGGGUGUACCUGGGUUUCCAAAGCUGAUGUUGGUGUUAUAUUGGCCGGUGGGAAUUUCCCGUUUAUAUGCAGAUGUGGAUACAUCAGAUGAGAUUGCAGUCAAGGGCUAACUUAUACUUAAAUAAAUAGAUCUGCUAUUUAAUACAGGGGUGUAGCUAGUGCCGUAUCAGUGAUACGGGGCCCUCGGACUGCAGGGGCAGUUUACGUGUGAAAGCAAAAAUUGGUAAAAUGUUAUCCACAAUAUCACUUAAUCUGGUGCUUCUGGAGUUUCACUUUAGUAAUGACAAAAAUCAAAAAAGCAAUAUUUAUAGCGUGUACUCAAAAAAUUUAAACAUCCCAUAAGUUAAGUCACUGUCAUACUUAUUUUAAGUAAGCAUUUUUAUUUCUUUCGUGGGUAAUACCUAACUAAUUUUGAUAAUUUUGAUCCAAGGCACACUACCCCCUGAUUUAAUAAAACUGAAAUUGGUAUAAUUUACAGUCGGUCACAUAAAUUUAUUCAACAUUGAACCCUUGAAAUUAUACCAAAUAAUACCAAAAUCCAAAUUUGCAUGAAUUUUCAAAACAUAUUUUUCCCUGUACAUAAUUUUUAUCAUUUGAACACUAACUGAUGUGCACGAAUUGUAGCAAAAACUUAAAAUUAAAACUGUGAUAGGUACUAUGGUAAUUUGUAUUGCUGAUAAAUAACUUUUUAGACUUUGGCAAGGUUCAAGAUUUACUCAGUAUUGAAGGCUUGCAUUUAUAACAAGUAAGAAAUAUUUUGUGUAUUAAAUCUGACCAUAAACUACUUAGUGGGAUUCCAAUCAAUUGUUCAUCAAAAUCCAAAAAUUAUAACAGUUUUUCGGACUUGCCUUUUUUUUAUUUUGACAAAUCCAUUUCUUCAUGAACAGUUUUCAUGAUGUCACAUCACCUUCUACCAGAAUUCAAAAAUGUCUGUGUUUAUAAUUGUAAUUGAAUUGCAUCAGUUUAAAGAUUGCAUUACACAAAAGAUAUAGCAAUGCUAUAUUUAUUUAUAGUUUGAACCUUGCUUUGUAAACGAAAUAAUGUAUCGAAAUAGUUAUACACUUACACUCUUACUAAUAAACCUUGUACAGUACUUGCAAACACUUUGCCUAUUUCUUUCAAAUGUCAAAGUAGUGUAUAAGAGAUGAUUUAUAUCAGACCAUGCUUUGCCCUAGGUGUGCCUUGAAUUUGGUCCAGAUGAGGCACAGAUAGAGUCGUGAUAGCCCAGUGGAUAUGACCUCUGCCUCCGAUUCCGGAGGGUGUGGGUUCGAAUCCGGUCCGGGGCAUGCACCUCCAACUUUUCAGUUGUGUGCAUUUUAUGAAAUUAAAUAUCACGUGUCUCAAUCGGUGAAGGAAAACAUCGUGAGGAAACCUGCAUACCAGAGAAUUAUCUUAAUUCUCUGCGUGUGUGAAGUCUGCCAAUCCGCAUUGGGCCAGCGUGGUAGACUAUUGGCCUAACCCCUCUCAUUCUGAGAGGAGACUCGAGCUCAGCAGUGAGCCGAAUAUGGGUUGAUGACGACGAGGCACAGAUUUGAAACAAUUAUCAUCACCCAUAUUUGGCUCACUGCUGAGCUCGAGUCUCCUCUCAGAAUGAGAGGCCAAUAGUCCGUCACGCAGGCCCAAUGCUGAUUGGCAGACUUCACACACACACAGAGAAUUAAGAAAUUCACUGGUAUGCAGGUUUCCUCACGAUGUUUUCCUUCACCGUUUGAGACACGUGAUAUUUAAUUUCUUAAAGUGACAACUGAAAAGUUGGAGGUGCAUGCCCUGGACUGGAUUCAAACCCACACCCUCCGAAUCAGAAGCAGAGGUCAUAUCCACUGGGCUAUCACGGCUCAUACAUACCAGCUCAUAUCAAAACAAUACAAUAUAUAUUUGUAUAAAGCAGUUUAUAUUACACAGUGCAUGCAUGAUCCAUGUCCCGUUCGGCAGGCUUAUUCACUAUCUUUGAUGUAUGCUAGUUGAUAUAUAGGAAUUGAGAUUAUGUAACAAAUGUCAUCUGGUGCUUACUGGUGGAUAUCAAUCAGUAGGUAAAUGACAUUUUGUCAAUUGAUUCGAUGUUUAUUUUUAUUUUAUUUAUUUAUUUAAAGCACGUCAACAAUACAUAUAUUAAACAUUAAAAAAUCAAUAGAAUAUGCCACAAAAAUUCUGAUAUGUAUAUUAAUGCUAUAAUAUAAUUUUUAACAUUUUAUAUAAUUACAUGUCAACACUUUCAUAAUAAUUUUAAUUUAAUUUAUUUCAAAAUUUAAUAAUUAUAUGUCAAGUUUAGAAAAAGUUAAUAAAAAAGUACACUAUUAUAAAACAUUAGCAUAAAAGGAAAACUAAAAAAUAAUUGAAUACAAUUAUUAGAUGUUUAUUUCAAUAGGUUAAUAAUAAAGACCAAAAUAGUGAAUAGGCCAGCUGGUCCGUCUAACAUACUAUCCUAUUAAGGUACAAUGCACAUGGUUGUUUCUGCCGAGACUCGGCCUAGUCUUUUAUAAAUCAUCCCUAAACUGUUCAAUGUCAGUUAGUUAACAAUAAAAAAUGUAUUUGUAGUGUACAAAUAGGGGUUACUUGAAUGUUUUUACUGAUUUUAAAUGUAUAUUUUUGUUAUUCUAUCUCUCAAUGGUUGUCUAUAAGUCACCCUGAACUACUUAACUAUUUUCUAUAUUUGAGCAUUUGAUGUGGAUUUGAGCAUUGGUAAAAUAAGAACUUACUACAUUAUAAACAAAAUUAUUUAGUUUUAGAGUAUACCACAGUACUCUAAUACAACACGGCCUCCGUGGCGCAGUGCUAUGCGCGGUGAAUUUAAUGACGGAGGUCCUGGGUUCGAUCCCCGGCUGGGCCGAUUGAGGUUUUCUUAAUUGGUCCAGGUCUAGCUGGUGGGAGGCUUCGGCCGUGGCUAGUUACCACCCUACCGACAAAAGACGUACCGCCAAGCGAUUUAGCGUUCCGGUACGAUGUCGUGUAGAAACCGAAAGGAGUGUGGAUUUUCAUCCUCCUCCUAACAAGUUAGCCCGCUUCCAUUUUAGAUUACAUCAUCACUUACCAUCAGGUGAGAUUGUAGUCAAGGGCUAACUUGUAAAGAAUAAAAAAACACACAAAAUGUAAAUGCAAUAUGCAAAAUACAAUAGGGAAUUUUCUGAAUAUUUUUUGUUUGAAAAGUUGGAGUAAUUGUGGUUACUCCAAAAACUAUGGUGUUCCAAAUUGGUUGGGGGAAAAUAAAUCAUUUUUUUGUACUUAAACUUCAAGACUUUAAUUAAAUUCCAUGUAAUUAGCUGUUAUAGUAUCAUUAUCAUAAACACCAUUAAUAAUUUCAACGGCUUGCAUUUACGCAUUUAUCUUAGGAAAAUUUUUGAAAUGUACCAAAUUUUCCCUUUUUCUUUGAAAAUUUAAACAAUGUUAAAUAAGCCAAAAAAAACAAUGGACUAGAAAUAGUUUGAUUUAUAUAUAAAAAAAACAUACACUCGAUUUGAGAACCUCCUCCUUUUUUUGAAGUCGGUUAAAAAAUGGAUUUCCUUUUUCCCCAACCUUUUUUGAUUUUAAUAUGAUUACAUCAAAAGAGUUAACUAAAAGAAAUACCAUGUACCUCUUUAAAUCUAAACACCUUGCCCUCUACUUAGUUAAGACUUAUUAAAAACCAGUAUUAAAAUAUAUAAAUAUAACAAUAUGUUAUAAAAUCUGCUCUUAAUUUAUUUUAAUGUCAUAAUUAAUUAAUUAUUGAUAUAAAACCAGAAAACACUUGUACUAUAAAAUGUAAUUAUAAAAGUGAACCACAUUUUUAUCUAACAUUGUAAUUAUCUUCCAGGUCACUUUUAUAAUUAUCCAAAGAAAACUUUUUUUUAUUAUUCGUAAAAGUAUACACUUUAUUCACUUAUUAGGUUUAUUUUAAAGUGUUAUUGCAUGUGUUCCAAUUUCACUUUUAUAAUAUAACUUUAAAAAAAUAUAAUUUUUAAAGUUUUGUUGUAAAAGUGAGUCAAUAUAAUGAUAUUGAAUGCAGUGAAUUUCAACAUCCUAAUUUAUAACUACUUAAGUAAUGAAAAUGCUGCAUUAAUAAAAUACAUAUUACUACUUAUAUAAUUUAGUAAUUUUAAUUUUAUUUUACGAGAUUAAAAUUAUUACAAUAGGUGCUAAAUCUUAAGUUAAACUGUACUUAGUUCCUACACUUAUAUAAAAUAUAUGUAUACUUAAUAAGGAUUUUUUUCUACUUAUUAAUCUCAGCAAAAACUACACAGUUGUUUUAAUUUUAGGGUUCCUUGAUUUAUUUGAAAUGUGAAAUUAUCAUUACCAAUAUUUUUAUUAUAAGCAAUAGGUUUAGCAAUAGCUUGCCCAACUUUAUGUCAAUUGAUUGGUUUUGGCAAUUAUAUGUCAAUAAAACACCUUCAUUUAAAUUCAUUUCAUAUAAAAAAAUACGGAACCCUAUAUCAUAUAGGAUUUUUAAUAAUACAGCUAUGCCUAAAAUAUAUGUAACAUUAAACAGUUCAACAAUUGAGUUAAUUUAUUAAGAAGGUGCACUUUUUAACAAUUCACUUUUUGGAUGAAAAAGUUCACUUCCACUAUUGGUUUUUAUUUUUAAAUGUCUAUGUAAAUAAUAUUAUAUUUGAUUACUUAAUAUAUUGAAAUAAUGGAUACAAUCAACUUUUAUACGAAAAAAAACAACUUACUUAUGCUUGUACUUAAACAUAUUUUUGUUGAUUUUUAUCACAACCUUAUAGGUAUGGCUAAUAAGGAAUUACCCUAUUCUUCUUAUUCAAGCUACAAUCCUCAUUUUUAGUAUUUGGAGUAAAUUCCUUAAGUUCUCAGGUUCAAUCCCCGAUCAAUAUAUAUUCAUUAUCCUAACGCCAGCACAAGUUAAAAACGGAUUUGAAGUUGUAGGCAAUGAAAUUCAUAUUUUUGAAAGCUACCUAUUAUUAUGUUCAAGGCAAUAUAAAUAAAAGCAUUUAAAAAAUUGUAUUAUUAUUAUGUUUAAUAUAAUAAUAAUAUUUUAAUUUUAGAAUUUAAACUAUCGUCAGUGUUAUUCAUAUUCAUUUAUUAUAAAAAUCACGGCUAAAACUCAGUUUGGAUCGUGCCACGUUGCAAGAACCAGCUCAUGACUUAGGGCCCCGUAUGGAUUCGAAACUAGUCAUACUAAAACUAGGCAUACUCCGACAUUGUAUCGCGUGAGUUUUAGCUGUGUUUUAUAAUUAAUUAAUAUUUUAAUUAUAAUAACUAUUAUUAAAUUUGUGCGUUUUUAUUACCUACCAAUGGUAAUUUUCAUUUGAUUGGAAUAUAUUAUUGUGUUAAGUGAAAAUUAAUGUAAUAAUUAAGUUUAUGAUUAAGUGAUUUUAUUAUGUUUAGGAUUCAAUUGGAGGAUUAAUAAAAAUGAUUCAUGUUAAUUGUUAUUUUGUGUUCGCCUCGCUGUGAUGGGUGAUGAAUUUUUGAAAUGUGUGAGAGUCUUAAUUAUUCUCCUGGCAACAUCUUUUGAAAUUAUUAUAUUCAAAUUAAGUUAAAUUAAUUACAUUGUGAACAAAUUAAAAAAUGUACAGUUAAUUAAAUAUUAUUAUGUCGGAGUAUGUCCAACAAAUAUUGAAUUCGUUCAUGGUUUUAUUUAUGAACUUAUUACUGUAACGCAAAUUUAAUAUUUCCAAGAGUUUGUUUUUAAAAUUGUCGGAUAUUCGCCGACAAUUCUUUGUAUUAGUAAAUAAAAUACAUGUUAUUAUAUUUAAGUAAUUGUGAUGAAUGCCACUCACAGUAAAAUAGUGAUUAUAAAUUUCUAACUGAAAGAUGUUGCCAGAGCAAUAAACAAAGGGAGAGCGAAUGAAUACGUAAGUGCUCUGUGGAGCAAGUGUGAUAAUACGGACAUACGAUAGGAAACUAUAUUGUAAUAUAUUGAUUAUUCGUACAA